UACAGAGGUCUCAAGCGUUGUUCGGAUUCAUUGGGCGUAAAGCGCGCGCAGGCGGUUCUUUUAAGUCUGGUGUGAAAGCCCACGGCUCAACCGUGGAGGGUCAUUGGAAACUGGAGAACUUGAGUACAGAAGAGGAAAGCGGAAUUCCACGUGUAGCGGUGAAAUGCGUAGAGAUGUGGAGGAACGCCCAAGGCGAAGGCAGGCAGCUGGGCCAAUUCUGACGCUGAGGCACGAAAGCGUGGGGAGCAAACGGG
rnacentral:rRNA from 1 species